UACGAGGGGGGCGAGCGUUGUUCGGAAUUAUUGGGCGUAAAGGGUGCGUAGGCGGUUUGGCAAGUCUUAUGUGAAAUCUCCAGGCUCAACUUGUAGUCUGCAUGAGAAACUGCCGGGCUUGAGUGUGGGAGAGGUGAGUGGAAUUCCUGGUGUAGCGGUGAAAUGCGUAGAUAUCAGGAGGAACACCGGUGGCGAAGGCGGGUCUCUGGGCCGAUACUGACGCUGAGGAGCGAAAGCAUGGGUAGCGAACAGG
rnacentral:rRNA from 1 species